CCUACGGGGGGCAGCAGUGGGGAAUAUUGGGCAAUGGGCGCAAGCCUGACCCAGCAACGCCGCGUGAAGGAAGAAGGCUUUCGGGUUGUAAACUUCUUUUAAGAGGGAAGAGCAGAAGAAGGUACCUCUUGAAUAAGCCACGGCUAACUACGUGCCAGCAGCCGCGGUAAUAAGGAGGUGGCAAGCGUUGUCCGGAGUUACUGGGUGUAAAGGGCGUGUAGCCGGGAAGCCAAGUCAGAUGUGAAAUCCCGGGGCUCAACCGCGGAACUGCAUUUGAAACUGGUUGUCUGGAGUACCGGAGAGGUAAGUGGAAUUCCUGGUGGAGCGGUGAAAUGCGUAGAUAUAAGGAAGAACA
rnacentral:rRNA from 1 species